CAGGAGAGUCGGGCUGACCGAGAAACUGACUGUGGGAAUCUCAGCCGUUAAUGAGAAAGUAAAAUCUGUGGACCAAAGGUUGCAGGUGUCGGAUAAAACAAUGGCUGCAAUAUUUGCAGCAGAGAGGAAAAUAAACAACACGGGAUCAGCCGUCAAAUCUAGCAGGUACGUAACUGCUGGGACAGCUUGGCUAAACGGUGCUUUCAGCAAAGUUGCAAAGGCCGGGCAGGUUGCCGGUACAAAAACCAAAGAAAAGUUGAACCUAGCAAUGUCAAACUUGACUGCCAAGGAUGCAAUUGCAGUGUAAGUUGGAGAAUUUCUCAUCUUAAGGUCACUUUACAAAUUGUUAUCGACAUACGCAUCGGAUGAUCUUGUUA